GAGGGGAUAGUUUGCCCAUUAUUGUCUUAUUUGAGUUAUGUGCUCCUUUGAUAUAGGUGAGGGAACAUUGAAGAUCUAAAACAUUAUAUAUUAUUAUGUAGUAGUGUUAAAAGAAGGAUAUAGUUCAUGCACAAGUUAGAAGUGUUAUCUUUGUAUAUCUUUCAUGAAUUCUUUCCUAAAUGAUAACUUUAAUCUAAUGCAUAACAUAUAGUCAUAUUCAAAUGAACUGAUCUACUUAUUACAAUAAAAUAUAUAAAGGAAAGAUUAAUAUUAUACAACUUCUAC
rnacentral:lncRNA from 1 species